AACGAACGCUGGCGGCAGGCUUAACACAUGCAAGUCGAACGCCCCGCAAGGGGAGUGGCAGACGGGUGAGUAACGCGUGGGAAUCUACCCAUCCCUACGGAACAACUCCGGGAAACUGGAGCUAAUACCGUAUACGCCCUUAGGGGGAAAGAUUUAUCGGGGAUGGAUGAGCCCGCGUUGGAUUAGCUAGUUGGCGGGGUAAAGGCCUACCAAGGCGACGAUCCAUAGCUGGUCUGAGAGGAUGAUCAGCCACAUUGGGACUGAGACACGGCCCAAACUCCUACGGGAGGCAGCAGUGGGGAAUAUUGGACAAUGGGCGCAAGCCUGAUCCAGCCAUGCCGCGUGAGUGAUGAAGGCCUUAGGGUUGUAAAGCUCUUUCACCGAUGAAGAUAAUGACGGUAGUCGGAGAAGAAGCCCCGGCUAACUUCGUGCCAGCAGCCGCUGUAAAAC
rnacentral:rRNA from 1 species